rnacentral:tRNA from 4 species
GGAGAGGUGGCCGAGCGGUUUAAGGCGCAGCACUGGAAAUGCUGAAAGUGAUGUAAGUUGCUUCGGGGGUUCGAAUCCCCCCCUCUCCG